UGUUUAGUUGGACUACAGAUUUUAGACAGCGAAUUUGUCAACGCGUUACCAACUGCUUGUUACUUACAUCAACGUAAACAAUUUCUUCUAAACGAUUUCAGAUAAAACUAACUAAAGUUACAAUAACAGAAAGAAAUUGCUUAUUAAAUUUAUUUUGUAGCUUACGUAAAGUCCGGGACAUUUCUAUUUGGACAUAAAAAAUUUGAAUUUUCUGACAUUUAUACGUGUAUUCAGCGUCUGUGUGAACAAAAAAUGUUCUCUCUCUCAUUCUAUGGUCCUUGAGCUUUAAUAACAGGGACAUUUUUUAAAUUGGUAGCAUUAGAAAAUGACAGUAAACAGCUGACUGAUGUAAACAAUAACACAAUAACAAAGGAAAUGUUAUAAUUUUAAUCUAUAUAACCAGUGGCUGCUUUAAAAGUGUGUACUAACGGGAUAAUAACAUAUUUACGCAAGUAUUUUUGAAGGUAGAAACAUUACUUGUCAUAUAACAACUACUCAGAUUAUAUGAUGAGACGGGAAUGGCACAAUACAGAAUUGCAGUCAGUGAUUGUGAUGGAGAAAGCCGCUGUGAAGUACUGACAGUACUGACUAUCGCUGGUUGUACGAUUUGUGCAAUUUGUGAUAUAUUUUGUGUGAAAAACUGGAAAAGAAAGUGCAUCACUGCAUAACCUCACUUAUCGCAGUUUUGCACAUUUUGAUGAUGGGAAUUGCGGUUCAAGUAAUUAUGAGUUAUAGAUGGAGAGCCCUGUUUACUUCAAACUGAAGCCUUUUGGGUCCACUUUGUUCGUUAUUUCCUGGCAGCCACUCUUGUUUCAAGCAGAGUGGGUGUAAAGUUAAAAAUAAUCCCGUAAAAUUGUUAAUAUAACUCCUUUGCACUGGCAUGGGGUAUUUGAAAACUUAUGUUUAACAAAUACGUCACAAAGUCUCAGCCAUCGUCGAAAAACAUAAUAAGGGCUUUAUAACAAGAAGCGCUUUCUGAUUUUACUGUGGACGUGUGGAAGAAUAGUGUGAAAUAUUGCGAAAAACCAACUUUUACUCUUGUUUACAUUUUUGUACGUCUAUCUGAGAGUAGUCUCUUGUAUAAAAAAUAUAGCCUACUAAUAAAGGAAAUUAAAGUGUUUUUAUUUCUGGGUUGCCCCCAAUUCCACUUCGCCCUUGCCUGAUAAUCAAGACACUGAUAAUGAAAUUGGUGUAAGUGCAUCGAAUACAAACGUGUUGAAUAGAUGAAUAAAAGAGAGACAACUGCUUUUUUCAAAAAGGCCAUUUCAAAUUUAUUCAAAAAGCACACCCCCACUGAAAAGGGUCCAUUCACGAUGAAGUUUGGCUUCCUGCAUGACAUAGGUUUCGGGCACCAAUCACACUGUAAAUGGUCUAAAUUGGUCUUACAUCUCUCAGACAUGGACUCACUGAGAGCGACUUCUGCAGUAGGCUUGAGGCCUGCCUGCCUGUCUCGCAACAAUCUCUGCAUUAUGAUUCCAAAUCAUUCUAUAAAACGCUGUCAAUUACAAGCCAUGAUAUGAGGCAUGAGGCCGUCUUAGUGUUUUCGAAUGUUGGUGCAAAGACUUGUCGCGAGGCAGGUUUCAGCCUUCCGCCAACGUCAGUCUCAGUGAAACCCUCUCAAAGUGAUCUCAGCGAAAACCAUUCACAAUGAGAUUGGUCUAUGAGGCCUAUGUCGUGCCGCAUGCAGCGAGAUAUGUCUCAUUGUUAAUGAAAAUAGGGCCUUUUUUGUUGUUUAAAGUCGUUUUUUAAAACUUUUGUGGCAAAUUUUACUGAUGUGGCAGAGAGGGGGCAUGCACUUGGAACAUGACGGUGACUACCCUGAAAGGCACUUCGAGGCUUUUAUGACCUUUUUAAUGCAAAUUUCAACUUUAAACCUGACAGUCAUACCAAGGUCAAACAUAACCUCAACAGUAAUCCAGCAACGGUACUUCAAAGCAUUUGAAAGUUUCUCCAUUUGUUUUUAAGUGUUCUAGUUGGUACAUUUUGCUGUACUUUACUACAAUAAAGAAAUAUUUAAAUUUU